CCACCAAACAUAAAUAUGUAAGGUCAUCUGCUAUAUGACCUUGGCGCAGAAAUAUUUCGUGUUUCAAUUCCCAUAUAGUUCCUACUUAAUGGAAAUGCAUUGGGCAACUUGUAUGUAGUUUGUUAUUGUGAUUUGUAUAAUAUUUGCCAUUUCUCACCUUCGCCAUAAUAAAAACCAAAAUUCGUUUCACCCAAUUUGCUUAAGACUUGUUGUUGCAUAAUUCGAGGUUCACAAAAAUUGUACGAGUGCUUCUAUUUAAGUUAUUGUAAUCCUCAUUUUCUCGGCUAGUACAUUGUAGCAGUUCGUAAACAAAGCUUUCGUAAGAGAGAAUCGUUAGCUGUACAGUGUUUUUGCUAUACAAAUAUCAUUAAAUUUUGUGCGUGAGCUAAUUUGUUUUUAUUUUUCAUUUGCGUGCCCAUGCUUGCCAUUCAGUGCUACGUUGUUUGAAGUAAUGGAGCUUACAAUUAAAUAGCGAGUACGAAAAGUAGCAUCAGGCAACAUCAAACAAUGGCAGCUGAUGUAAACACAAUUCCAUUUCAUAUGAUAUGUUCUAUAUUAUAUCGAACACUUUGUUUACUAAUUGGUGUAAAGUACCAGGCGAUCAUAAAAGGAAGUUCGAAUAAUACAACAACAAGAUUUCGACGAAACAAAGCUUUGCUGUAAAUACUGCAUAAAGUAACAUUUUUAGUAUUUGUUGUUUACGGAACAACCUGGACAUUUGGAACAACAAUAAUAUUUGAGAAUGUGAUAAACAAAGUAAAUGAUGAAACAACACUUUUUGCAUUUUAGUUAGUGCACUUUCAUUGCGAUUGCGUUAUGUAAGACAAGCCGAGCUUUGUUAUGCAUUAUUAUCGACGAUUUCAUAAUUUUAUAGUUGAUUCCUACCUACUCUUUACUUAGAACGCUAAGCACUGCAUCAGGAGAAAAAAACUUCUUUGAUGUGAUCACUGCUACUUUUUUUAUUUAUCCUCAAAUUUUCCCUAGAUUUUAUAUAAGAAUUUGCCGCAAUAUAUCAUACGACUAUAUAAUAAUCACAAGAAGUAAAUUUACCUGAAAUCAUAAAUAACAAAUUAUAUAUAGGUAUGCACUUUUUAAUGAUCGGUUUAGUUAUAGAAAUGAUUUGAGAAUUGGAGCUAAUGUCUGUUGUUAAGUCUCUCGAGAGUUAUAAAUUGGAAGGAAUUUUUUUAUAUUUGAAACAACUACUGCACUCUUAUGCGUGCAUGUUAGAAAGCGUUGUUUUCUGCCUUGCUGAAAUUAUAUUUUACUGCACACACAUCCGUGCCAUAAUUUUUCUCGCCUCUUUAAACUAUUUUCAUAUAUUUUGUAUGCACAAUCAUGGCGGUUCACUAGGCAAUCAUAAAGGGUACAGCUAAUAAAUAUAACUUAAAUUUAUAAUAACAAAAUAUAUGCUGUGCAUUGUGUUGUUUUGUAACAGGUUUUAAGGAAGAAUUUUUAUUGUCCGAGAAUGCUGGCGAAUAUGACAGUUAGCAAUAUACAUACAAAUUAAUGUUUCGAAUAACUUGCUACUGUCUGUUUUGUGUGCGUGGUAAAAAGCGACACUGCCUUACUUUACAACUUAUUGGAAUUUCAUAGCAAAUGAUUUUUUUAUGCUAGUUAACGCUUUUUCGUCCAUUUGCUAUGUUUGGACAUACUUGCGUGAAAGCUCUUCGCGAUAUAUCAGGCGAUCAUAUGAUAAAUGUAGAGAGGGAGAAAAUGAGAAAUGACAAAGUCGAUAUCAAAAUGCGAACUUUUGCAAUUAUUAUUGUUUUAGGAAUAAUUGGAAACUGAAAGCAAUGGAUGUUGCAGGUGGUAAUUUCAAUAUAUUUGCGACACCUACUGCACUGUUUUGUGCGCCUAGUGGAAACACUUCUUCGAGCUUUAUUUACUAAAAAAGUUUCUUCAAACGAUACAUAAUAAAAAAAAAAAAAAAAUUCUGUGCGACAAA